UGGGAUAUGGCUCAGUGGUAGAGUGCUUGCCUAGCAAGCAUGAGGCCCUGGGUUCAAUCCUCAGCACCAUAU
rnacentral:tRNA from 1 species